GUUGCUUCUCGCCUGAAAAGUUUCUGAAGAAAAAUGUUCUUUUAUCAACCAUUCCCAUUGUUUCUUGUCAACGCCCUUUGGUGUAUUCUUAAGAGCCUCUAGGAUUGGCUUACCUUUCACAUACUUAAAAUGUAAUUGUCCUCUCCAUUUGUUCCACAAUUCUUUCAUCCAUCCCAAAAUGUGACCCCGGUGACUAUCCAUAUCAUCACUCUCAAAUUUAUCCUCAACAGCUGCCCACAUGUGAUUUAACUUUUCUUCCUCAAUUUCAUCCCAUGAUGAUACUCCUAAUGGACACAUGCUAUGAUCACGAACUAAUUUUCCCAAGUGCCUGGAAAAUAGAUUGCUAUUCCUUCCAACAGUUCGAUUAUUAUAAAAUGUCACUUUCAG
rnacentral:misc_RNA from 1 species